UAUAAAUUUAUAAAAUAUCCACAAAUAACCUAUGAAUGAGUUUAUUAGUAAUGAUAAAUAUUUUUUUCUCUUAUAGGAUCAAAUUUUAACCGAAGAGAAUGCUCUCCUUAUGAAAAAGUGUGGAGGCUCCCAAUUUCUGGAUGGUUCAUCUUCUACAACAUGUACGAUUGGACUACUUACAUCUAAUUCACACAGUGAAGAUGAAAAUCAUCUUCAGUUAGUGAUGAGGCCUCCUGAUGUACAAGAUUCACCCACUGAAGUUGAAACUCAUCAACUUCAAUUAGUGAUGAGGCCUCCUGAUGUACAAGAUCACCUCGUAGUGCAUGAUUCUGAUUAAACAGUCAUAAAUGAAUGAAUUAUUAGACAUGAAAAAUAUUAUGUUUUACGAUAGAAACUGAGCUGAUUGAUAGAUUUAGACUAUUUAAUGAAUCUCGAGAUAUUCUUCUCUUGUGAGUAAAUAAUGAGAAGAUAUUAACAUAUGAUUAAAGAAAUUAAUUGUUAGUGAUUUGAUGCUAAUUUCUUUAAUAUUAUUUUAAAAUUCUUUUGUGUAUCGUAUAUUUUUUUCUAUUCGACUGGAUGCUAUCUCGGGUGCACACCGGCAUUAUGAUAGUAUCAGGAAAUGUAAAUUUCUCUACUAAUGUUUUCAUCUUUAAACUGUU